rnacentral:rRNA from 1 species
GCGCAGCAGGCGAGAAACCUCUGCAAUGGGCGAAAGCCUGACAGGGGGACUCCACGUGCCGGUUUUGCCGGCUUUUCUCCAGUCUAAACCGCUGGGGGAAUAAGGGCUGGGUAAGAUUCGUGCCAGCCGCCGCGGUAAUACGAACAGCCCGAAUGGGGUUCACGAAUAUUGGGCCUGAAGCGUCCGUAGCCUGUCCUGUCAGUUCCUGGUGAAAUCCGGCGGCUUAACCGUCGGGCUUGCCAGGAAUACGUCAGGACUCGAGGCCGGGAGGGGUGGGAGGUAGUCCCGGGGUAGGGGCGAAAUCCUAUAAUCCCGGGAGGACCACCAGUGGCGAAGGCGGCCGACUAAAACGCGCCCGACGGUGAGGGACGAAAGCUGGGGGAGCGAACGGGAUUAGAUACCCGGGUAGUCC